rnacentral:antisense_RNA from 1 species
AUCGCCGCCAUUUUGGGCUGGGAGGAGGCAGCGGAGGGACUCGCUGCGCACAUCAAGAAAGAAAACCAAGGCACUAGAAAGCAAGCACACUUAAGUAUUGAAGAUAAUUACAUCUUAAAUUUUGCCUGAACUGUAUAUUGUAGCAUACUUAAACCCAUUCAAGGAAAAAAUUGGCAAAUUGAAAAUUCUCCCGUUAAAGAUUGAUAUUUUUGCAAACUGACAAAUUUAACGAUUUCGGUACCCCUCCCCAAAAAUGCAAUCACAUAAAAUAUAUCAAUACUAUUUUGAAUUAGCUCUAGAAAUCACACUGAAACUAUGUUACAUUUACAAAUAUUAAAUUUAUUAUAACUAAAAUGAAUUUAAUUGUUCUCAGAUUUGGCCACCUUAUAGCUCCGUUUAAGGAGGGGAUUUGUUAAAAACAAAAAUGCAUUAUAACUUGGUCAAAUUACUUUCACAUUAAGGAAAAAAACUUCUAAAAAGGAAAACAAGAAAAGCAACUCUUCAGUUUCACAUAAUUAAAAGAACAGGAGAAAGCACGCAAGCUACAUAUAGCUAAAUUUACGAAACCAACCAA